CUGAUGUGGUAUGGAACUGUGAUGGGUCACUGUCUACGUAUGGCUCUGCUGCUCUGGGGGAUCAGCUUGCGCUCAGUGUGUGUGUGUUCUCAGGCUGAUUUUACUGUGGAAGCAGAACCUGGUGUUGAUGUCACUCUCUGGUGUCAACACAGUUUAACGCCACCAGAUUAUAUAUUCUGGUUCAAACACAGAAAUAAUUCAGCACCAAUUUAUAUUGCAUGCAAAUAUUACACAUUUUCAUUAUCAUCAUCUAAACCCUGUAGUUUUAUCCCUGCAAGUAACAGAACAGUGAUGAGAGUGAACUUGAUAAACUCCUCUCUAACAAUAACUGCAGUUAAUCACUCUGAUUCAGGACUCUAUUACUGCAGCAGUCUGAGGGGAAAGCAGAUGAUAUUCAGAACCACAACAUAUUUACAACUGAAAGAGAGAAGUCAAAUAAAUUCCAAGAAUCCAACAAAGUCUGAAGGUUGUUCACCUGCUGAAGUGUUCUACAUACUGAUUCUGGUGUUUGGAGCUGUGAUUACGGUUCUGCUCAGCACUCUUUUAAUCCUGAUGUUUACCAGACAGAGUGAGAGAAAAGAUCAGAGAAAGCAGCAGAGACAGGAUAAAGGACUGCACUUUCAGUAGAAAUAUUCCACAAUCAAUUAUGAGUGGUAUUAUGGAAAAGUGGAAGUUUUUAGGAACGACAGCAACUCAGCCACAAAGUGUCAGACCACGAAAAGUUACAGAGCAGGUCGCCGAGUGAAUAAAGGUCACCAACGCUCUGCUGGCUCAAUACCUGCAGAGUACCAAACCUCCUCUGGCAUUAACAUCAGCACAAUAACUGUAC